UACGAAGGUGGCAAGCGUUGUUCGGAUUUACUGGGCGUACAGGGAGCGUAGGCGGUUGGAUAAGCCCUCCGUGAAAUCUCCAGGCUUAACCUGGAAAGUGCAGGAGGGGACUGUUCAGCUAGAGGAUGGGAGAGGAGCGCGGAAUUCCCGGUGUAGUGGUGAAAUGCGUAGAGAGUCGGGAGGAACACCCGUGGCGAAGGCGGCCACCUGGGCCGACCCUGACGCUGAGGCGCGAAGGCGUGGGGAGCGAACGGG
rnacentral:rRNA from 1 species